GAACGCUGGCGGCGUGCCUAACACAUGCAAGUCGAGCGAAGCUACGUAACUGAGUCUUCUUCGGAAGGCAACGAUAUGUAUACUGAGCGGCGGACGGGUGAGUAACCCGUGAGGAACCUACCUCGGACAGGGGAAUAACCUGAGGAAACUCAGGCUAAUACCCCAUGACCUAUUGAGAGAGCCUUUUCUUAAUAGCAAAGAUUUACCGGUCUGAGAUGGCCUCGCGUCCCAUUAGCUAGUUGGUGAGAUAACGGCUCACCAAGGCGAUGAUGGGUAGCUGAACUGAGAGGUUGACCGGCCACAUUGGGACUGAGACACGGCCAAGACUCCUACGGGAGGCAGCAGUGGGGAAUUUUGGGCAAUGGGGGAAACCCUGACCCAGCGACGCCGCGUGGAGGAUGAAGGCCUUCGGGUUGUAAACUUCUUNGGCCACGGACGAUAAUGACUGUACCUGGACAACAAGCCACGGCUAACUACGUGCC
rnacentral:rRNA from 1 species